rnacentral:rRNA from 1 species
UACGAAGGGGGCUAGCGUUGCUCGGAAUUACUGGGCGUAAAGCGCACGUAGGCGGGUUGUUAAGUCGGGGGUGAAAUCCUGGAGCUCAACUCCAGAACUGCCCUCGAUACUGGCAACCUUGAGUCCGGGAGAGGUGAGUGGAACUCCGAGUGUAGAGGUGAAAUUCGUAGAUAUUCGGAAGAACACCAGUGGCGAAGGCGGCUCACUGGCCCGGUACUGACGCUGAGGUGCGAAAGCGUGGGGAG